rnacentral:antisense_RNA from 1 species
CUUCAGCGAGCCCAGCCGCAGAGGUUCGGCGUCGCCGCGUCCCACCCCGUACGUGGCGAGCAGCGCCUGAGCCUC